GACGAACGCUGGCGGCGUGCUUAACACAUGCAAGUCGAACGGAAAGGCCCUGCUUUUGUGGGGUGCUCGAGUGGCGAACGGGUGAGUAGCACGUGAGUAACCUGCCCUUGACUUUGGGAUAACUUCAGGAAACUGGGGCUAAUACCGGAUAGGAGCUCCUGCUGCAUGGUGGGGGUUGGAAAGUUUCGGCGGUUGGGGAUGGACUCGCGGCUUAUCAGCUUGUUGGUGGGGUAGUGGCUUACCAAGGCUUUGACGAGUAGCCGGCCUGAGAGGGUGACCGGCCACAUUGGGACUGAGAUACGGCCCAGACUCCUACGGGAGGCAGCAGUGGGGAAUAUUGCACAAUGGGCGGAAGCCUGAUGCAGCAACGCCGCGUGCGGGAUGACGGCCUUCGGGUUGUAAACCGCUUUCGCCUGUGACGAAGCGUGAGUGACGGUAAUGGGUAAAGAAGCACCGGCUAACUACGUG
rnacentral:rRNA from 1 species